CCUACGGGAGGCAGCAGUGGGGAAUAUUGCGCAAUGGGCGAAAGCCUGACGCAGCGACGCCGCGUGAGGGAUGAAGGGCUUCGGAUCGUAAACCUCUGUCAGCAGGGAAGAACGGUCACUGUACUAAUCAGCAAUGAAUUGCCAGUACCUGCACAGGAAGCACAGGCUAACUCCGUGACAGCAGCCGCGGUUAUACGGAGGGUGCGAGCGUUAAUCGGAAUUACUGGGCGUAAAGCGCGCGUAGGCGGUAUGUCAAGUCAAGGGUGAAAUCCCCGCGCUCAGCGUGGGAACUGCCGUUGAAACUGGCAAACUAGAGUGUGUGAGCGGAUAGUGGAAUUCCGGGUGUAGGAGUGAAAUCCGUAGAUAUCUGGAGGAACAUCAGUGGCGAAGGCGACUAUCUGGCACAUAACUGACGCUGAGGAGCGAAAGCGUGGGUAGCAAACAGGAUUAGAUACCCCUGUAGUC
rnacentral:rRNA from 1 species